rnacentral:rRNA from 1 species
AGAGUUAGUGGCGGACGGGUGAGUAACACGUGGGAACGUGCCUUUUGGUUCGGAAUAACUCAGGGAAACUUGUGCUAAUACCGAAUGUGCCCUUCGGGGGAAAGAUUUAUCGCCAUUAGAGCGGCCCGCGUCUGAUUAGCUAGUUGGUGAGGUAAAGGCUCACCAAGGCGACGAUCAGUAGCUGGUCUGAGAGGAUGAUCAGCCACAUUGGGACUGAGACACGGCCCAAACUCCUACGGGAGGCAGCAGUGGGGAAUCUUGCGCAAUGGGCGAAAGCCUGACGCAGCCAUGCCGCGUGAAUGAUGAAGGUCUUAGGAUUGUAAAAUUCUUUCACCGGGGACGAUAAUGACGGUACCCGGAGAAGAAGCCCCGGCUAACUUCGUGCCAGCAGCCGCGGUAAUACGAAGGGGGCUAGCGUUGCUCGGAAUUACUGGGCGUAAAGGGAGCGUAGGCGGACAUUUAAGUCAGGGGUGAAAUCCCGGGGCUCAACCUCGGAAUUGCCUUUGAUACUGGGUGUCU